GACGAACGCUGGCGGCGUGCUUAACACAUGCAAGUCGAACGGUGAAGCGCCUUCCUUUUUGGUGGGUGUGGAUGAGUGGCGAACGGGUGAGUAACACGUGAGUAACCUGCCCCCUUCUUCUGGAUAACCGCAUGAAAGUGUGGCUAAUACGGGAUAUUCUGGGUCUGUCGCAUGAUGGGUCUGGGAAAGAUAUUGUUUCGGUGGGGGAUGGGCUCGCGGCCUAUCAGCUUGUUGGUGGGGGGAUGGCCUACCAAGGCGGUGACGGGUAGCCGGCCUGAGAGGGUGGACGGUCACACUGGGACUGAGCCACGGCCCAGACUCCUACGGGAGGCAGCAGUGGGGAAUAUUGCACAAUGGGCGCAAGCCUGAUGCAGCGACGCCGCGUGAGGGAUGGAGGCCUUCGGGUUGUGAACCUCUUUCGCCAGUGAAGCAGGCCUGCCUCGUUUGUGGGUGGGUUGACGGUAGCUGGAUAAGAAGCGCCGGCUAACUACGUG
rnacentral:rRNA from 1 species